rnacentral:lncRNA from 1 species
UUUAAAUAGACCGAACAGUGUAGAAUAUUUGGUCUUCAACCCACGCCCUUCAUGCCCAUUGAUGCUGCAAUAUUACGAUCGGGGACAAGUCAACAUAAAGGGUGUAAGAAAUAUCCUCCCAAAAGUGAAGACGGAAACAUAUGUGGUUACGUAAGUACCAUGCAUUCCUAUUUUGCAGUUAUCAGAACAUCAGAACAUCCGUGUUGAUCUUUAUCAUCUUGUAAGGUGCCACGGUCAUGCGUUGCCACGGAAAAAGAAAGUUAUGAAAAAUGUCAAAGUUUCUCUCCUCUUCCCUUCCUCGCACAUACAUGUCUGAUUCAUGGUACAAAUUUAUGUAUCUGUUAGAGAAGAACAAAAACAAAGGAUUCCCCUCACUUUAUAUCUCCUAUACCUAAAAUUGCUUAUAGGCGACUAAAUUUGCCAAUUCUAUGCUCUAAUAAACCAAAUGAAAGAGAGGGCAUAUCAAGUUGAAACCUUGAGUUUCCCUUCAAGAAAAGUUGGAGCCGUGAGCUAAAUACAAGAACCUAAAGAGAUAACCUUCAAAAUGUUCUCACCGGGGAAAACCAUCUAAAACAAUCAACAUACAGAGGUCAUGGACUUGGAAGAAAUCUGCAACAAAUCAAGAGAGUCCGAUAGAGAUGUGAGAGCUCACCAACUUUUGUAACACACGAAAUUGAAAUAUUCUUAGUCCGUAAAUCAGUAAAGCAACUAAAGUGAAGCGUAACAUUCCAGCUCUACAAAAUCACUCACAAUGGUGCAUAUACUCUCAGUUUUGAUCAUAAUAAGCCAAUAAAAUGGAUUUUGUUUCUUAUUAUACCAUCGGAAAAGUUAUUGUACAGAAAUAUUUAGUCAAUUUUGUCCAGAAACUGUCAAUACAGAACUGUUGAAAUCAAAUGUUAUUACUUCACCAGCCUUCACUAUCUUAGUUUCACAAAAAAAUGCAACCAACAGACCGAGAAAUUAAGAGUCAGAAAAUCGAACUAAUGUAAUGAGACAACAUGUAAUGGCACUGCAUGUACAGUGAAGUUUGCCAAGCUUGCGGUGUGAGCGAAAAAUGCUAAUUGUUCCUUGUUGGUUUUAAGCAACAACGAAACUUGAGGCCUCAAAAUACAUUACAUCAAUGUAACACUAUUUCAGUGGUCUCAAACCUAUUGAUGAACAGCUUGUUCUAAUUCAGAGAUUGUACAUCGAAUAUAUAAGUGUUGACAAUCUAUUCUGAAAUUGCACACGAAGUUGCAGACAACCUGUACAUUGCACAUACAGAUAGCACCCACAGAUUUCAGCAUCCAUUGCACUAAAAAUAUCACAUAAUGUGGCCUGCUACACCCCAAACGCAAACAACACAAACGCAAACAUGGGUUUCUCCCUGGGCGCGGCGUGGCGCCGCGCCUCCGCCCGCUAGUAUAGUACUACUUCAUGUGAGUUCUCAGGAACCAGCAAAUGUUAUUGGCAUGCUAGAUUCAUCUGAACACACACUUCCCCAUACCCUGAAUUUUGGCCAUGAAUUAGAUGGAGUGUGUGAAUCAAGUUCUAUCAUUUUUUCACAGAAUAAAGAACCACUUUCUCCUGCUAAAACGAAUCAGCACAUGCAUCUCCUUUGAAUAAUAAUAACAACUAAAAUGUUACGCCACCUUGUACAACUUUUAUACUGCAGUAAAUUUAGCCAGAUUACUGCCCAAUGUCUAUUACUUACACUGCCCAAAAAGUGAACUCGAUUAAUGAUCAUGAUCUAUAGCCCAACUUUCCCAAUAUAAGAAAAAAAUUAUUAUUUUGUUUAUGAAAACAUCGUUGACAACUAAUCAACAGUUCAAUUAUGGUCACUGCCGUACAAUUGAGUUAUAUUUUUAUUCACUGUCGUACAAUUGAUCAAUUAUGUACUCCACCAACUACCACUUCAUUAAUCAAUAGUUACAUUUUUAUUCAGUAAAAUAUUGGUUGUACUAACAAAGAGAUAUAAAGAAGGAUUAAUCCCACUGCUAGCAGAACUAAAAGAGAGUAAAUUCCGAAAUUCACGGAUCCAUCCUAAAUGGCCAUCUAAUAAGCAACAUAUGUGGCCAAAAAAUUAUGCUGGGAUGUCCCAAAUUGCCAUUAUAUAGUACCAAUAAUGAGGGAUGAGAAAAUAAAGAAUGAAGUCAAGGAAAUACCUCAAGUAAAUAAUCCAAAAUAUUAUUCUGUAUUCCUUCUCGAGAAACUGGCUUCUUUCUUCAUUUAAACAUUCAUAUUCCUUGUUCAGUUGGAGCGUUUGCAAUAGUAGAACUUUCUUCGGGAUUAUUGCCUUAUUGGUAGAGAUGUACAAACUUUUUUAUCUACAGAUUAAUAGGCUGAAACACUUACACCAUGAUUUUCAGACCCUGCCAACUGAUACUUCUAUAAGUUCCAAAACCUUCUAGAGUGUUCCACAACACCAAUGUCCAAGUCAAUACCAUAUAUUAUCCAUUGAAUCAUUAGAGUAAUUUACCAUAGAACAUUAAGAACAUUAGGGGAGGAUUUGUUGCAACUAUUUUAGAUCAUGCACCAAAAAAUUGUAGUUCUCCUAAAUCAAGAAGAACAAGGUCGAAAUUCACAAGAGUCGUAUAGAAAUUUCUGCAAUCAAUAUCAUACCUGAUCCAUGUACGGCAGCCUCUAAAUAAGCAACAUAAGUCCGCAGUCCAUAAAAAAUAGAAUACGCUCCAAUUUGAUGUAUCAUGCAAUUUUGCAAUACUCGAAUAAUUUUAUAAAGCAUACUGAUACUGCAUUGGAGGGCUAUAAACUUCAGUAAUAUGAAAAUAUGUAGACCGCAGUUGAUACUGUAACUUAGUGACACAACACAUGGUAUGAUAGCUAAAAGGAGAGGCUAUCAAUUGUCAUUUUUUUGCACUGAUGUGCCUGUAGAAAACCACUAUUGAUUCGAUUUGAUGUGUACCAUAGA